UACGGAGGAUGCGAGCGUUAUCCGGAUUUAUUGGGCGUAAAGCGAGCGCAGGCGGUUGCUUAGGUCUGAUGUGAAAGCCUUCGGCUUAACCGAAGAAGUGCAUCGGAAACCGGGCGACUUGAGUGCAGAAGAGGACAGUGGAACUCCAUGUGUAGCGGUGGAAUGCGUAGAUAUAUGGAAGAACACCAGUGGCGAAGGCGGCUGUCUGGUCUGCAACUGACGCUGAGGCUCGAAAGUGUGGGUAUCAAACAGG
rnacentral:rRNA from 1 species